AGCAGCCGCGGUAAUUCCAGCUCCAAUAGCGUAUAUUAAAGUUGUUGCAGUUAAAAAGCUCGUAGUUGAAUUUCGGGACCAAUUUGUUGGUCGUGCCUCGGUACGUACUGGUAUUAUUGGUUUCUCCCUUCUGAAGAACCUCGAUGCCAUUAAUUUGGUGUCGUGGGGAAUCAGGACUGUUACUUUGAAAAAAAUUAGAGUGUUUAAAGCAAGCAUACGCUUGAAUACAUUAGCAUGGAAUAAUGAAAUAGGACGUUUGAUUCUAUUUUGUUGGUUUCUAGGAUCGACGUAAUGAUUAAUAGGGAUAGUUGGGGGCAUUAGUAUUCAAUUGUCAGAGGUGAAAUUCUUGGAUUUAUUGAAGACUAACUACUGCGAAAGCAUUUGCCAAGGAUGUUUUCAUUAAUCAAGAACGAAAGUUAGGGGAUCGAAGACGAUCAGAUACCGUCGUAGUCUUAACCAUAAACUAUGCCGACUAGGGAUCGGAUGAUGUUAAUUUUUUAAUGACUCAUUCGGCGCCUUA
rnacentral:misc_RNA from 1 species